rnacentral:rRNA from 1 species
GACAGAGGUGCCAAGCGUUAUGCGGAAUCACUGGGCUUAAAGCGUGUGUAGGCGGAAUGGUAAGUACCUUGUGAAAUCCCACGGCUCAACCGUGGAACUGCUGGGUAUACUGCCCUUCUUGAGCCUCUUAGGGGCUGUCGGAACAAACGGUGGAGCGGUGAAAUGCGUAGAUAUCGUUUGGAACGCCAAUGGCGAAAACAGACAGCUGGGAGUGUGCUGACGCUGAGACACGAAAGCCAGGGGAGCGAACGGG